UCGCCCACAAUCUGUUCAAACGGUUUCAACACGGAUGCGUUCGGACGCGCAAUGAAUUCUCAUUCCGGCCUUCCGCCGGUCGGCGUCAGCCGAAGCUCUUAUUGGGGCAUCCGUGUUGGGAGAUCGUUCUCGAUUUGAAGUGAAUCGGAACAAUCCCACGUUUGGUCUCCUCGCGCUAACCCCGUAGCGUGUGGUUUUUAGCGGGCUUCUGGCCCGUUUUUUUUC
rnacentral:ncRNA from 1 species